UUAAGUGACUAAGCGUACACGGUGGAUGCCUAGGCAGUCAGAGGCGAUGAAGGGCGUGCUAAUCUGCGAAAAGCGUCGGUAAGGUGAUAUGAACCGUUANAACCGACGAUACCCGAAUGGGGAAACCCAGUGUGUUUCGACACACUAUCCUGUCAUGAAUACAUAGUGGCAGGAGGCGAACCGGGGGAACUGAAACAUCUAAGUACCCCGAGGAAAAGAAAUCAACCGAGAUUCCCCCAGUAGCGGCGAGCGAACGGGGAACAGCCCAGAACCUGAAUCGGCUUGUGUGUCAGUGGAAGCGUCUGGAAAGUCGCACAGUAAAGGGUGAUAGUCCCGUACACGAAGAUGCACAGGUCGUGAGUUCGAUGAGUAGGGCGGGACACGUGUUAUCCUGUCUGAAUAUGGGGGGACCAUCCUCCAAGGCUAAAUACUCCUGACUGACCGAUAGUGAACCAGUACCGUGAGGGAAAGGCGAAAAGAACCCCGGCGAGGGGAGUGAAAUAGAACCUGAAACCGUGUACGUACAAGCAGUGGGAGCAUCCUUCGGGGUGUGACUGCGUACCUUUUGUAUAAUGGGUCAGCGACUUAUAUUUUGUAGCAAGGUUAACCGAAUAGGGGAGCCGUAGGGAAACCGAGUCUUAACUGGGCGUCUAGUUGCAAGGUAUAGACCCGAAACCCGGUGAUCUAGCCAUGGGCAGGUUGAAGGUUGGGUAACACUAACUGGAGGACCGAACCGACUAAUGUUGAAAAAUUAGCGGAUGACUUGUGGCUGGGGGUGAAAGGCCAAUCAAACCGGGAGAUAGCUGGUUCUCCCCGAAAGCUAUUUAGGUAGCGCCUCGUGAACUCAUCUUCGGGGGUAGAGCACUGUUUCGGCUAGGGGGCCAUCCCGGCUUACCAAACCGAUGCAAACUCCGAAUACCGAAGAAUGUUAUCACGGGAGACACACGGCGGGUGCUAACGUCCGUCGUGAAGAGGGAAACAACCCAGACCGCCAGCUAAGGUCCCAAAGUCAUGGUUAAGUGGGAAACGAUGUGGGAAGGCACAGACAGCCAGGAUGUUGGCUUAGAAGCAGCCAUCAUUUAAAGAAAGCGUAAUAGCUCACUGGUCGAGUCGGCCUGCGCGGAAGAUGUAACGGGGCUAAACCAUGCACCGAAGCUGCGGCAGCGACGCUUAGGCGUUGUUGGGUAGGGGAGCGUUCUGUAAGCCGUUGAAGGUGGCCUGCGAGGGUUGCUGGAGGUAUCAGAAGUGCGAAUGCUGACAUAAGUAACGAUAAAGCGGGUGAAAAACCCGCUCGCCGGAAGACCAAGGGUUCCUGUCCAACGUUAAUCGGGGCAGGGUGAGUCGACCCCUAAGGCGAGGCUGAAAAGCGUAGUCGAUGGGAAACAGGUUAAUAUUCCUGUACUUGGUGUUACUGCGAAGGGGGGACGGAGAAGGCUAGGCUAGCCGAGCGACGGUUGUCUCGGUUUAAGCGUGUAGGGGGNAAAUCGUACCCCAAACCGACACAGGUGGUCAGGUAGAGAAUACCAAGGCGCUUGAGAGAACUCGGGUGAAGGAACUAGGCAAAAUGGUGCCGUAACUUCGGGAGAAGGCACGCUGGCGCGUAGGUGAAGUCCCUUGCGGAUGGAGCUGAAGCCAGUCGCAGAUACCAGCUGGCUGCAACUGUUUAAUAAAAACACAGCACUGUGCAAACACGAAAGUGGACGUAUACGGUGUGACGCCUGCCCGGUGCCGGAAGGUUAAUUGAUGGGGUUAUCCGUAAGGAGAAGCUCUUGAUCGAAGCCCCGGUAAACGGCGGCCGUAACUAUAACGGUCCUAAGGUAGCGAAAUUCCUUGUCGGGUAAGUUCCGACCUGCACGAAUGGCGUAAUGAUGGCCAGGCUGUCUCCACCCGAGACUCAGUGAAAUUGAACUCGCUGUGAAGAUGCAGUGUACCCGCGGCAAGACGGAAAGACCCCGUGAACCUUUACUAUAGCUUGACACUGAACAUUGAGCCUUGAUGUGUAGGAUAGGUGGGAGGCUUUGAAGUGUGGACGCCAGUCUGCAUGGAGCCAUCCUUGAAAUACCACCCUUUAAUGUUUGAUGUUCUAACUCUGCCCCAUAAUCUGGGGUGAGGACAGUGUCUGGUGGGUAGUUUGACUGGGGCGGUCUCCUCCCAAAGAGUAACGGAGGAGCACGAAGGUUAGCUAAUCACGGUCGGACAUCGUGAGGUUAGUGCAAAGGCAUAAGCUAGCUUGACUGCGAGAGUGACGGCUCGAGCAGGUGCGAAAGCAGGUCUUAGUGAUCCGGUGGUUCUGAAUGGAAGGGCCAUCGCUCAACGGAUAAAAGGUACUCCGGGGAUAACAGGCUGAUACCGCCCAAGAGUUCAUAUCGACGGCGGUGUUUGGCACCUCGAUGUCGGCUCAUCACAUCCUGGGGCUGAAGUAGGUCCCAAGGGUAUGGCUGUUCGCCAUUUAAAGUGGUACGCGAGCUGGGUUUAGAACGUCGUGAGACAGUUCGGUCCCUAUCUGCCGUGGGCGUUGGAAGAUUGAGAGGGGUUGCUCCUAGUACGAGAGGACCGGAGUGAACGCACCACUGGUGUUCGGGUUGUCAUGCCAAUGGCACUGCCCGGUAGCUAAGUGCGGAAAAGAUAAGCGCUGAAAGCAUCUAAGCGCGAAACUUGCCUCAAGAUGAGUCUUCCCUGGGACUUCGAGUCCCCUGAAGGAACGUUUAAGACUAAGACGUUGAUAGGCUGGGUGUGUAAGUGCAGCGAUGCAUUGAGCUAACCAGUACUAAUGAACCGUGAGGCUUAACCUU
rnacentral:rRNA from 1 species